rnacentral:rRNA from 1 species
UACGGAGGAGGCAAGCGUUAUCCGGAAUUAUUGGGCGUAAAGCGUCCGUAGGUGGCUAGUCAAGUCUGCGGUCAAAGACUGGGGCUUAACCCUGGAAAGGCCGUGGAAACUGACGAGCUAGAGUGCAGUAGGGGUAGAGGGAAUUCCCGGUGUAGCGGUGAAAUGCGUAGAGCUCGGGAAGAACAUCGGUGGCGAAGGCGCUCUACUGGACUGCAACUGACACUCAGGGACGAAAGCUAGGGGAGCGAAUGGG